CCUCUUUGCUCUUUCAUCCUUCCUUCCUUUCUACCAUUUCUCUUACUCCAUUCCUAUCUUCAUCUCUCUUCUACAAUUCUAGGUUCUAUUACUAAUCAAAAUCUGGCCAUCGUUGGCUAGAUCUGGCAAUUGAUCAGCUACUAAAUCUUUUUCUCUCUAUUUCAGGUUGUUAUCUUUGAAAGUAGUCAUUUAAUCCUUUUCUUUACCUCUCUUCUCCCCCUUCCAUGCAAUAGCCACCUUGCCAUCAGAUUUGGCUCCCAUCUCCUAACUACUAAAACUCCUCUCUCCCUCCCUUCCCUCUCUCCCCUUAUAUUCAGUCCUUAAAUCCUCGCCUAUUGCCAUAAAUCAGUCUAUCUCUCUCUUUUUUUCUAGC
rnacentral:lncRNA from 1 species